rnacentral:rRNA from 1 species
UACAGAGGGUGCAAACGUUGUUCGGAAUCACUGGGCAUAAAGCGCGUGUAGGCGGCUCGAUAAGUCUGCUGUGAAAGUCCAGGGCUCAACCCUGGGAUGCCGGUGGAUACUGUCGAGCUCGAGUCCGGAAGAGGUGUGUGGAACUCCUGGUGUAGCGGUGGAAUGCGCAGAUAUCAGGAAGAACACCAACGGCGAAGGCAGCUCGCUGGGACGGUACUGACGCUGAGACGCGAAAGCGUGGGGAGCGAACAGG